rnacentral:rRNA from 1 species
CGCCUUUUGAAAUAUGUACAUAAAAGGUCCUGCCUGCCCAAUGACUUGUUUUAAUGGCCGCGGUAUUAUGACCGUGCAAAGGUAGCGUAAUCAUUUGUCUUCUAAAUAAAGACCAGUAUGAAUGGCAAGACGAAAGCCUAACUGUCUCCCUAACCCAAUCAAUGAAAUUGAUCUUCCCGUGCAGAAGCGGAAAUAAUAAUAUAAGACGAGAAGACCCUGCGGAGCUUUAAACUCUAACUAACAAUUAUAAUGUUUUAGUAAUCAGUUUUAGGUUGGGGCGACCAUGAGGUAUAAUACAACCCUCACGAUAUUCAUCAAGAAGAACACUUCAAACAACUAAUAUUAGCACUUUGACCCAUUAGUUGAUCAACGAACCAAGUUACCCCAGGGAUAACAGCGCAAUCCGCUCAAAAAGUCCUUAUUAACGAGCAGGUUUACGACCUCGAUGUUGGAUCAGGACACCCAAAUAGUGCAACAACCAUUAAAGGUUCGUUUGUUCAACGAUUAAAGUCCU